UGCCAUACCAUUCUGAAAACACCGGUUCUCGUCCUAUCACCGAUGUUAAGCAUCAUCGAGUGCGGUCAGUACUUGAGAAGGUGACCACCUGGGAACACCGCGUGUCGUUG